UACCAGACUCCUACGGGAGGCAGCAGUGGGGGAUAUUGCACAAUGGGGGGAACCCUGAUGCAGCGACGCCGCGUGGGUGAAGGAGUGCUUCGGCAUGUAAAGCCCUAUCGGCAGGGAAGAAGCAAGACGGUACCUGACUAAGAAGCCCCGGCUAACUACGUGCCAGCAGCCGCGGGAAUACGUAGGGGGCGAGCGUUAUCCGGAUUCACUGGGUGUAAAGGGAGCGCAGGCGGCACGGCAAGCCUGAUGUGAAAGCCCGCGGCCCAACCGCGGGACUGCAUUGGGAACUACCGGGCUGGAGUGCCGGAGAGGUAGGCGGAAUUCCUAGUGUAGCGGUGAGAUGCGUAGAUAUCAGGAGGAACACCGGUGGCGAAGGCGGCCUGCUGGACUGCGACUGACGUUGAGGCCCGAAAGCGUGGGGAGCAAACAGGAUUAGAUACCCCAGUA
rnacentral:rRNA from 1 species